rnacentral:lncRNA from 1 species
AAGAGGACGAUGUGACUAGAGAUGUAAAUGGAUCUUGAUUAGAAAUGUUAAUAGGUACAGAUAUUCAAAGUUUUAUUCAAAUUCGAAUCAGAACAAAGUAGAUUUAUUCAAUACUACAUAAAUAGAGUUUUGGGUAUGAAUAUUAAAAGUAAAAGUUCGACGGAUCUGGAUUUCGGAUCUGGAUUUCGGUGUGGAUUUUGGCUGUACCCGAUUCGAAUCUGAACCCGACUCGAAUCCGAAUUGCUAUUAUAUUUGAAUUUGUAUUUGAAAAUUUUAGGUUUAACGUGAUAUGUUCUGAAAUAUUGUAAAGAAAAAUAAUUAUUACGUGUUCAAACUUUUGGGUUGGGUUCGGAUUCCGAUUUCAAAUUUUUGGUCGAGUUCGGGUUUAGACAUGUACUUUUAAAAUCCGUCAGAUUCGGGUUUGGAUUCGAAUUUCAGCUUUGACAGUCGGAUCCAGAUUCGAGGUUUUGAAAAUACAUCCCGAAUGCGACCCAUUGAUAUUCCUAAUCUAAUUGAUUGAUGGAGCCUCCUCCCAAUCCGUUCCAAAUAGAACAUUACAGGACACUAAAAAAAAUAAUCUAUUUCGAAUCUGCCCUAAUUCGCUAUAAAAAUAAAAUAGAGUCGGAAAAAUCUUUUUUUUUUUUCGUUGAUCCGUCUUGAUCUACUAUAAAUUCGUAAAAAUUCUGCUCCUACUUCCACGCGUUCUAAAAUAGCAUAAAGUAAAAUAAAAUAAAAAUUAAUUCGUUCCAAAUCCGCCCUCUUCCAUUUGUAGGGGUGUACACAUUUGGUCACGAACCGCUGACUAAAUGGAAACCAAACCAAAUGAGACUAGUUGGUUCGGUUUAUAUGUUUUCAAUUCGGUUCGGCUUUUAAAUUUACUAAAAUUCGAUUUUCGGUUUCAGCUCAGUCUGAACACAUUUGUUAAUCGAACCGAACCGAACCGAACCGAAAAUAGAACAAUAAUAUUUCUUAUAUUUUUAUCUAAACUAUUUAUUAUAAUUUUAUAUUUAUGAUCGAAUCUUAAUCAUAUAUCAAGUUAUCAACACAUAUUUCAAAAUUCAAUGUUCACAAUUAAAUUUUUUAUAUGUGAUUCCUAAUUAUUCAAUUUUAAAAUCUUAAAUUAUAAAUUAAUUCAUAAUAAAAAAUAAAAAAAUAAAAAAUUAAUUCGGUUUGGUUUGGAUUGGUUUUGAGUAUAAAUCAGUU